GCGUACAAAGAAUGCGGAAGAAAAUCUCUCACCGACCAAAACUCAUUCUUAUGCGCCUCCCUUUUCCCCCUGUUUUCACCUAACGCCUCUCCCAACACCCAAGCACAGAGGGACGGAGGCAGAGAUCGAACGCUGUUGCUUCACCGUUGAUCGCCAUAACUUAGCAUUUUCAGACUAUUCUCAAGAUAACCAUACAACAUUAUAUGGAUAAUAGACCACAGUCAGAGGAGGCUUUAGUAGAGCGUGCGAGAGAAUACCUUAUCGCCAUCUCUGAUUGUGUGCCUGAAAGCAAUUCAUGCUUAAUUGAACCUGAAAUCCCAAAAGGUGAGAACAACAUCGCGUUUGAGAAUAAAGUUGAGAAGGUCGUCGAUGAAUUGAGAUCCAAAUUGAUAUCUAUCGCUUCCCAUGUCCCAUCCAUGGAUUGUGCCGAUAACAAGAACAAUGGCAAUGACAAUGGCGAGGUUUAAGACAUCCAUCAUUUCGACACAUUGGUGCUAAUAUCAGACCUAAUACUUUGAUCAUAUAAAUAUGGGCGGUGAUUAUAAAUAAUUUUAUUGUUUAUGGUAUUUUUCAUAAUGUCGAAAACGUAAAUUUGGUCUAAAUAUAGAUUAAAAAGGACGAAAUCAAUCUCUAAGGACUAGGGAUGGAAAUAUAUGUACAUCAUUUUUCCUACAUUUUAAUGAUGCUAUGAACAUAAAAAACAAAAUAUUUCUAUUUACGUAUAUUCGACUUUAAUACC